rnacentral:rRNA from 1 species
UACGUAGGGCGCGAGCGUUGUCCGGAAUUAUUGGGCGUAAAGCGCACGUAGGCGGUUCGUUAUGUCGGAUGUGAAAGCCCUUGGCUUAACCGAGGAAGUGCAUCCGAAACUGGCGAGCUAGAGUACUAAAGAGGAUCGCGGAAUUCCCGGUGUAGAGGUGAAAUUCGUAGAUAUCGGGAGGAACACCGGUGGCGAAGGCGGCGAUCUGGGUAGAUACUGACGCUGAGGUGCGAAAGCGUGGGGGAGCAAACAGGG